GGGAGAGGGGGAGAGAGAGGUGGUGAAUAGAGCAGAGAGAAGCAGAGAGCGAAAGCUCGCUAGAUUCCUCAGAGCAUGGUCUUUAGAUGAAUAACUGAGAUCUGAUCUCAGAGAGAGAGAGAGAGAGAGAGAGAGAGAGAGAAUGGGGUGUUCUUUCUCUGGUUUGAAUGCUCUGUACGAUGCCGUGAACGGAGGUGGGGAUGUCUGGAUCAACGAGAAUCGUUUCAGGAUCGUGAGGCAGCUGGGAGAAGGCGGAUUCGCGUAUGUCUAUCUCGUCAAGGAGGUCACUACCGACGGAUCUGCUGCUGAUACUGGGAGUGGAAAGAAAUUCAAGGACUCUUCUCAUGUUUCAGAUGAUGGCACAUAUGCUAUGAAGAAAGUGCUAAUUCAAAAUAAUGAGCAGUUGGAGUUGGUGAGGCAGGAGAUCCGUCUUUCAUCCCUGUUCAAUCAUCCUAAUUUACUUCCCCUUCUUGAUCAUGCUAUCAUUGCGGUUAAGGGUGCCCAGGAAGGAUCACGGAAUCAUGAAGCUUACUUGUUAUUUCCAGUUCAUUUGGAUGGAACAUUACUAGACAAUGCCAAAGUAAUGAAAGAUAAAAAGGAGUUCUUUUCAACAAUUAAUGUUCUUCAGAUAUUCCGGCAGCUUUGUGCAGGACUGAAACAUAUGCACAGCUUUGACCCUCCAUAUGCUCACAAUGAUGUCAAACCAGGUAAUGUCCUCAUCACGCACAGAAAAGGACAGCAUCCCCUCGCAAUUCUAAUGGAUUUUGGAAGUGCUGGGCCUGCAAAGAAGUCUGUUCACAGUCGUUCUGAGGCACUACAACUGCAGGAAUGGGCAGCUGAGCAUUGUUCUGCUCCUUUUCGAGCCCCUGAGUUGUGGGAUUGUCCAAGCCAUGCUGACAUUGAUGAGAGGACGGAUAUUUGGUCUCUAGGAUGUACUCUCUACGCAAUAAUGUAUGGUGAAUCUCCCUUUGAGUACGUGCUUGGCGAAUCUGGAGGAAGCUUACAGUUGGCUGUCAUGAAUGCCCAGAUAAAAUGGCCCACAGGGCCCAACCCACCCUACCCCGAGCCUCUCCAUCAGUUUGUGACAUGGAUGCUCCAAACGCAGGUUGCUCUCCGUCCACGCAUUGACGACAUCAUAAUUCACGUGGACAAGCUGAUAUCCAAAUACUCUGCUUGAUCAAAAUGUCAAUGUAUAAAGUCAAAUCAGGAAAAGAGAAAAAAGCCCGCAUGCCCCAGAUAGGACUUGGCGCGAAUCCCUGUGCAACUUCUGGCUUUCAUGCGAGAAAUCCCAUUUGGGCAUACAUGGAAUCUAUUUCAGAUCAGUUCUGGUUCGUCGUUAAGGUAUAUAUGUGGUAAAAGCUUGUGUAGUCUGAGGAGACUUUGUAUGAUUCAGUCAGCAGCAUUAUGGUGCAUUGUAAUGUGUGUUUUAAGUGUACCAGUGCAGAGAUUAGCUGAUGGCUUUAAGAGAGAGCACCAACAAUACGAUGGAAAAGAAAGUCUAAGAAGCCGACCUUUUAAGGGAAGGAGGGUUACCUCACGGUCUCUUUUUGGCUUGAAGAAUUGAGUUCCAAUUUGUGGUCAAUUUUAUUGCGACCAACACGGGCCAACGCAAAGUGGUUAGCCGUCACAUGGCGAGGCUAUCUUAAUUAAAAUGAAGUUGUCAAAAUAGUGAAGUUGGUCAUCAAUACAACGAAGUUAACUGUUAAUAUGUAAGAACCAACAACAAACUAACUGCCGACCCACAACCGACCAUUAAUGGUCGAUUAGGUCAAAAUUACCAUGGCCGAAUGAAGGGCUAAAAUGACCAAUUUAAUGACUGAAACGAUUUCCAAUAACCAAUUUGACUAGGGUAUCCUUUAUAAUGGGAAUCCCAGGAACAUCAAAAGAAAUGGCUGUCCCAACGGCCAAUUUGAUGAAGAACUUUCAAUUCUGAUUCAAUGUCUUUUCGUAUUAUCUAAAUGCAAAGAGAUGUGAGGUGCAUU